UCACAUAAAAGGGGAGCUAAGGCACAAAAAUAGAUCAGAUUUUUGAAAGAAUUAGAUCCCUUGCCUAACAGAUAACAGAGAAUGGUGCAUCUUUUGGAGUCUUCAUCUCGAAUUUUUCAUGAAGACAUCACGAAACAAAUGACCCCUCCCCAUUCUGAACGUAGCUCUUCUUCUAGACAGAAGAGGCUCCCCCUCUCCUUUGGUUCCCAUAUAAAAAAAACACACUCACACACGCAUAGAUACAGCAAGGAGGUGGGGAAAGAAGCUAGGAUUUACAAAGAAAAUUCUCCGUCUAUUUUUAUUUUCCAUUUUCUCAGAUUUUUAGACAUAGUUUAAUUUCCAAAAAAAAAGAGAAAAAUCAAAAAGUAGAUCUCUGUUUCUCCAUCUUAAUUUCGUAUGCUUGUUCCAAAAAAUGGAAUUUGAUGGAAAUUUGGUGUGGAAUUUGUGUUUGGUUUGAGUUUGCGGUGCCGUUGGAGGUUCUGUUUAUGUCGAUCAAUUUCCGGCUGCGAUUCCGGCAGAAGUCCGCGAUUCCUGUUGCUCCGUUGCUGUUCCACGAUUGCUGAAAGAAGCCGCCAAAGCUUAGUUGUAAUCAAGUUCAUAUGUUGAAAGAUAUUUGCUCAUGAGGGCAUGGAUGACAAAACUUGGUUAAAGACCGCUAUUUUCCUAUACUUAAUUGCCAUUUCGAUUAGUAGAGUUUGCGGUGCCGUUGGAGGUUCUGUUUGUGUCGAUCAAUUUCCGGCUGUGAUUCCGGCAGAAGUCCGCGGUUCCUGUUGCUCCGUUGCUGUUCCACGAUUGCUGAAAGAAGCCGCCAAAGCUUAGUUGUAAUCAAGUUCAUAUAUUGAAAGAAAUUUGCUCAUGAGGGCAUGGAUGACAAAACUUGGUUAAAGACCGCUAUUUUCCUAUACUUAAUUGCCAUUUCGACUAGUAGAGGUAAUCAUGAUUUUUAUAUUAUUGUAAUUAUGAAUGACUACUUUGACUAGAUUUUAUUUUUUAUUUUUUUA